UGUGUUCCAGUCUCCCCUCCUUGGGUGGGCAGUGGAGGAAAGAAGCUCACAGUGGAAUCUGACUACGUUAUGCUAAGGGAAGGGAGACGGCGCCGUUGGCUCGACUACGGCUUCUCGUGUGCAAGCUGGACUCCCAGCAACAGCAAGAAACCCAAGCAGAUGAUGCACGUGGCCGCAAGGCGCACCAAGCUGAAGAUCACCUGGUGUUUCAGGACAUCUACAGCUACAAUACAUACCCGGACACCCAUGAAGCGGUCCUUGAGGACAAUCCAGGACAAGAGAAAAACGAAGGCUUUGUGGCAACAGUAAAGAGCGGAGACAUCAGUGGCGGUCAGCUUCUUCAAGGCCAAGAGAUACAAAU